AUUUCGCCACGUCAUCACUUCCUCCCUCCCUCGCUACUCCCAUUCUUUCAGCUUACAUAUCUGCCCCUGCCACCACUCUUGAUAAUAUUCUGGUCGGUCAAAACCUUAAUCCUACGGUCCAUAUUCGUUUUUUCCAGAGAUGGCAAGAAUAGAUGGUGAAGAUAUCAAGGAUACUUGUGAUGAUGGUUUCAUCAAUGGUGAUGACGGUGGUCGAGUCUUCGAGAUCAGUUGACGUUGACGGCGACGACUCUGAGAUCUUAAGAAGACACUUGCUCGCUAAUGGACUUGGCCUCACUCCUCCCAUGGGAUCUGUAUAACUCUGUUUCCUUCUUUCUCUUUGAUUUUAGCUUGUUUCCUUAUUCUUCUUUUUUUUUUUUUUUUCUGUCUUAGUGGUUGGUUGAUUUUACAAUUGAUUCCCUAAAUUUGGAGUUUGUGAAAUCGAAAGAGAACAAACACACAUUCUACAACCACUAGUCUUUGACCAAACUCGUGAUUGCUUGAACUUAACUUCUAUAUCCUGAUAAUUUUUGUUGUUGACAAAAUUAAAUAGUCGAUUGUGAAAACUGUUUUGUCUUUUGUGUUCUUGAUGAUGUCUGAAUAAAGUUCAAUGUGAUGGUUUUGCUGGUGGAAUAGCUGGCUGCAACAUAGAUGAGAUCAAAAAUAACUGGUAAAAAGUUUCAAUUUUUUUUUGUAAUUCUCUAUCCUCGAUUAGUCUUGCAUCUUUAUUCUCCUGUCAUCAUCUCUUAACAAUCAGUCUAUUUAACAGCUGAUGCCUUUGGUUACCACUGGCCUCUCUAAGCUUGGUUACAACUAUUUUAACAUCGAUGAUUGCUCGGCUGAAAUUGCUCGUGACAACAAGUGUCAGGGGAGAUAUGCACCCAGCACUAUGGGGAUCUCCAGUAGGCAACAGUCGGAGAACCACUAAUGACAUCAAAGUACCUGGCUUAGUAUGAUCUCAUCAGCAGGUGGCUGGAACGGUAGGCAGAAGUAAACUGUUUUUAAGUGUUUUUGCAGAUUUUGUAAAGGAUUUUGCAGGUAGAUGAGUGAAGCUGAGGUGGUUUUCUCCUCUUAAAGUCUUACACUUUGAUAUGGUCUAUCUGUUCUUCGACAUCUUCUUUGAUUUGAUCUUUUAAUGUGCUUGUAGAAGUUUCUUUUGCUUUUGAUCUUUUCACUUUUCAGGCUAGGUAACAGUUCUUCUUUCAACAGCUGAUUUUGUGGUGUCAACAAAUGCCAUUCCUGUCAAAUAUGCCAUAGAGACCUGAAGCUUGAGAACACACUUCUCGAUAUAAGCCUUGCUCCACUUUUUAAAAUCUGUGGUUCUGGUUACCCCAAGGUCUGCCGCACUCAGUCCAAAACAGAUCAGCAUGUUCUUUGAACAAAAGGUGAUGCUGUUUGGAGUUUAGGAAACGAAUGGCCCAAAGAACUUCAGGAAAACAAUCCAACGUAUACUGGCUGAAAAGUGCAAGAUCCCGGGGUACAUUUCAGGAAUGAAAACAUCUUCACUCUCGUCACAUUUGUGACAGAGAAUCAGGAGAUAAUGAAUCAUCUGUUGUGUGCUAGUUGGAAAAUUUGCCAAAGGAGCUGCUAGAGUCGGCGCAAGCGACUUAAUAAUAAUAACAUCUGUCUCGCUCUUUGUCGUGUCUUGACAUGAUGGAACUGAUGUUAGCAGCACCAAAUACAAGCAUAAAUGAUAGUUAAGGUUAAAAAGUUGAAGAAAAAACUUGGAAAACAUAGCAACGGUAAUUGAAACUAGCCUAUGUAGGUGUGAAUCGAGUCGAUGUAAUGAAUAAAAGAGAGUUUUUUAGCCA